UGUUUCUAGUUAGAGGAAAGGAAUCAAAGAAUCUUCUUCAAUGUCAUAGUCAUCCACCUCAUUAUCUUGAAAAAAGUAGUGCUUACCAUACUAUCUAAUCUUGCUUUGGAAUGGUGCUUACUGUAUUGUUUACUGCAACUGUUUUUACCAAGUGCAAGAAGCGUGUAUGUGUAGCACAUCGCUAGGUGGUUUGGCGAAUGUAAUUUCACUAGUUUUUUCUGUAUGAUGGAUUUAUGGUUGCCCCACAUCUUCAUAUUUUGAUGAUACUCUGAGCUUCUGCUGCUUUCUUAUAAAAUUGAGCUCAUGAAAUUUGGUCUUAAAAUAGCACAUGAAGCAUAUGUAUUUCGAGUGUCAGUUUUCACUCUGCUUAACUAUGAAUCCUAUGUUUUCUCUUGUAGACUUGCAUGAUGAAGGCUGCACAAUCUCGCCCUUGGUCAGAUCUUCCGCCAGAACUCCUGGGACUUGUUCUCAAGCGCCUCCCUUCCCUAGCUGACCGUGUUCGUCUGAGAGCUGUCUGCCACCCAUGGCGCUCUAAUAGCAGGUUGCAGACCCUUCCUCUCCCAUUCCUGUGGCUCACUCUCCCUGAUGGCACCCUCCUCGGCAUUCCAAGCGGUGAAAUUCACCACAUAUCUUUACCGGAAGGUGCGUGUUGCCAGGGCUCCAUUGACAACUGGCUAUUCCUCAUGCACAAUGAUGGUGUGUGCUACUUGAUGAGCCCUUUCUCCAAGACCAGGUUGCAGCUUCCUAAGCUAGCAAAGGUAUGGAAGCGUGAGAUAUAUGAUCCCGAACCCCGAAUUAACCCAAUUUUCUACAACUUGGUGCUCCCCUUUCCACUUGACUCGUCACCGUGUUCCCUACUUGCUGCACUGAUCAUGGAUGAUGGUAACUGGGGUACACUUUGUAUUAGUCAAUCACCGAUUGUCACUGACUCAUUCAGAGAUGAUAAGCAUCCAGCAAAGCUCCUCUGUAGUGUUGCGUUCUUUGAUGGCAAGCUGUACGGGCUGGGGGGGUUUGACCAACUAUUCAUCUUUGAAUUAGACAAGGACCUUGGUAUUUCAUCCAUGGAGUGUAUAAUUGACUAUGGGUGAGUUAGGUGGAAUACCUCAAUCGUUGUCGGAAGAGAAGGCGUAUAUGAUAAGGGGGUAUCUAGUUGAAUGUGGCGAUAGACUGUUGAUGGUGAAACGGUGGAUUCAUCCUAUUGCCCGUUCAACAAGUGAUGACUUUUUCGAGCAUAACCGUACUGUUGCACUUGGGGUUUUUGAGGCAGAUUUGGGCACCGAUCCUGCUGGAUGGAGAACAGUAAAUGAUUUGGAUGGCCAUGCGCUCUUUCUUGGCCAGCAUAGCUCCAAGUCCCUGCGCGCUGGAGAAUGCAGUGGAUACCAAGAGGACUGCAUCUACUUCAUGUGUGACUAUUCCUGGCCAAAGCAUUCUGCAAAUCCUCUUCGUGAUGCCGGUGUUUACAACAUCAGGAAUCAGACAUUCAUGCCACUGAUGUCGGGGACUGCAGCGGUACCGCCACAUCAUGCUGGCCAGUGGCGUCCGACAUGGUUUUUCCCUCCUGAAGCUGUGUGACCAAGCCUUGUAAUCACUGAUCUUCAGAGUAAUUGUUGGAUAAUGUAUCUGAGAUGGAAGUUGGAAGGGCUUCGUCCUCACAGCGACAGGUGAGUUGUUGAUGGAUGGUAGAGAUUCGUAGUGUUAGUUUCUGUGUUGGUAGGCUGGUAGGUUCAGUUUGAUGAGUGAUGUGUUCUACCUGGUGGCUGUUGUUCUGUCUUGUGGUGGCUGAACUUAGUGAUCCUGUCCUAGUGUAGCGUUGUAACUGCUGUUGCCUGAACUUUUAAAAGCGGGCCGCUGUAUCAUCAGUUUUAUUUUAAUUAAAUUGGAGGGUGUGUUCUCCUUUCAUCAAAAUUUUCUUGUAUGAUGUUAGAUUCUGUAUUAGUAUGAUGAUAGAGAUGUUUUGCAUUUUCAAGUAUUAUGGAUGAUUUGUUUUUGCUGGUAUUAUGGAUGAUUUUUAACAGGAUGCAUUGUAAUGCGCAUGUCUUUUGCUGUGAUAUAAGACUAAAGGCAUCUCUAAUAGAAUCUUUAAAUUCGGUAACUCCUCAUGUUGGCAUCAUUUGGGGAGUCAAACCGUAGCUAACGGAAGCCCUAUAACUAUAACUCCUCAAAAUUUUGAGUUAAUCCUAUGCCUUCUCUGCUCAAAUUUGAGCACGUCACACCCAUUCUCCUCAAAUCUCCUCUCAUCGAGAAAAUGGCUCAACCGGCGGCAAGAUGCCAAACUGAACCCGCCCACGCCAGUAUAAACCCCGUCGGUGCCACACCAAACCCUAAAUCCUUCUUGGCCACCCUAUUUCUCCCAAAUCACCGUCGCCACCACCCAAUUUUGUCAUCACCGUUCGAAUGGCCAUGGCUCGCUGCCUGCAGCGGGUAGAGCAGUGGGGUGUUGCCGUGCCGGAUGUCAUCCUCGGACGAUGACUACAAUGACGAGCCAGAGGCGGUGCAGCUCGCAGUAGCCAUGGCCCAGGAAGCCGAUGAAGAGGACGAGGGGGGCGAUGAAGAGGAGGAGGGGCAAGGCGAUGGAGGAGAAUGAGCAGUCGACGAAGGAAGCCGUGCACGAGGACGGCGCCUACGACCACACCUACCUCCCCUCACGGGAGGAGGCAGAGCGGAUCAAUACAACAGUUUUCGGUGUGCACUUUGGUAGCUUUGUAGGCGCUCGAGUACCUAGUCCGGUGUGUUAGCCUUCCGUCGCUUUGUAUGUAUUGUGGUGCUUUAGGUCUAAUCUAGCUAGCCUUUGUUUUAGGUUUUUGCCCGGUUUUCCUCCGAAACCGAGCAGCCUCUUUGUUUUUUACACAUGUCUUUAUGCGAUGCAUUAUUUAUCCGAGGUCUUCUUGUAAUAUCCUUUUUUAAUCAAUGGAUUUGACAGUUCUCCUGUCAACAUUAUAAAAUGAUAAGGUUCAAAAAAACAUUAUAAAAUGAUAUCGAAGAUGGGCAUGUAAAUUUGUUCCCAAGAUUCCUAAAUGUUUGAAAGGCUUUUCUAGUUAUCAUUUUAAGAGCAACACUAGCAGACCCCUUAUACUCGAGAAUUGUAAACGCGAUAUAAGGGUCAAGAAAGCAGGGGCCCGACAAGGUAGUCCUUCGUCCCAAUGACGCCGCGGCCGCCCAGGCGCUCCUCCCCCAGCUCGAUCUUGACGGCGAGGAGGUCCCCAGACUCCCUCUCCCUCUUCACGGGCAGCAUCCCCGCAUCGGAAGUGCUCCCCGCGCCCGAAGACCUCCCCGCGUCAGAGUGCCUCGCAUGGCGGAGGUCGUACUCCUCCGUCUUGCGGCGGAGGAGGGAGCCAGCAACCCAUACUUGGUGUACCGCUUGACCGCGCGCUUGCGCGCCGCGUCGGAGGUGAAGCAGUGUUUGCGCUCCGGGUCAUCGCCGCCACCGCGCCGGCCAGAGCUCCACAUCNNNNNNNNNNNNNNNNNNNNNNNNNNNNNNNNNNNNNNNNNNNNNNNNNNNNNNNNNNNNNNNNNNNNNNNNNNNNNNNNNNNNNNNNNNNNNNNNNNNNNNNNNNNNNNNNNNNNNNNNNNNNNNNNNNNNNNNNNNNNNNNNNNNNNNNNNNNNNNNNNNNNNNNNNNNNNNNNNNNNNNNNNNNNNNNNNNNNNNNNNNNNNNNNNNNNNNNNNNNNNNNNNNNNNNNNNNNNNNNNNNNNNNNNNNNNNNNNNNNNNNNNNNNNNNNNNNNNNNNNNNNNNNNNNNNNNNNNNNNNNNNNNNNNNNNNNNNNNNNNNNNNNNNNNNNNNNNNNNNNNNNNNNNNNNNNNNNNNNNNNNNNNNNNNNNNNNNNNNNNNNNNNNNUCUGACCCAAAAACCGGAUCAAACUCGUAUAGUCGCCGGACUUUUACCAUUUGUGCGUUUAUACGGGUGUGCUAGAGUUGAUGUGAGCAGGGUCUUACUCUGUCCUCUUCCCAUCGGGCUUCCCCGGUUCUCUCCCCUCCCAUGGUCAGGUUCCAAUCCCUACUUCUCCGGCGAUUUGAGACUUGCGUGUGACUAGCAGCCUCCCGCCCCACCUCAUCUGCUGGAGGCCGAAUCUGUUCCCCGCCAUCCACCGGCUCGCCGACGAGGCAACAAGACUCAGCAGUAAGCUGUAAGCCCUACCGCCUUCGCACUCUCCAUCUUGUGAGGGGUUUCUUCCAGUAGAUCGGGCUGGGCGGACUGAUGCUUUGCCUGACCACCAUUGUUUCUUCUAGUAGAUCUAUGCUUGGUGGUUUUUUUACCUGGUGUGAACUAGAAAUGUUCAGGAAUGUUUGGCUCUGAUCCGGACCUCUCAAUAUCUCACACUCUCCCGUUCUUGAAGAAAAUAUAAAAUGGCACCUCUUUUGCAAAUCCCUAUUUGUUUUUCUACCAAAAUUGUUUCAGUUAAUGAGUAGAUCUAUGCCUAGUAGAAAUGUGUAUGAAUUUAUUAUACACUAAAGGAAGGAACACCUGUCGCUCUUGGUUCUGAUGCAACGCAUAUCACUCUUUCAGCAUAUACUCUUGAUAAGAAAGAAAAAUGACACCUCUUUCAGUGGCGGAGCCAGAAAAAUAGGAUGAGGAGGGCCGAGUAUUGUUCAACCUUGUUGGGUGGGCCAAUCCAUCAAAAACACCCAUUUUAGCAAAAAAAAAAAUCACUGCUACUAUUCAUCUAUUAGGCCUAAAUCACAAAUGUUACUUUGGCUAACCAAAAUUUGUUUUCUUUUAGUCUAUGCUUGGUAAUAAGCUGAUGUAAAACAGCAAAUAUUUGUUCAGUAUUACACUUUCCUGUGAUGCCCAGCCAUUGUUUCAGGCUUUCAGCUUGUACUUGAACAAGAUGUCACUUCUUUUUCUCUACAUAAUUUUACUGAAUAGACCAGCCUUUUCUUCUAAAUAAAAUGAAAAUGGAGUAAGUGCAGUGACUGGGUCAUUGCCGCUGGGAUAUAGCACAUGAGACAUUGGGAACACUGCUCUCUCAUAGUUAGUAUACUAAUGAUGCUCAUGAUUUCUAGUCAGAGGAAGAGAAUCAAUGAAUCUUGAAAAAUGAGUGCCUAGUACACUAUCUAAUCUUCCUUGGAGUUAAUACUUAUGAAUUAUGAUGCCAACAAAAUGGUGCUUAUUGUACUGUUUACUGCAAACUGUUGUUACCAAGUGCAAUGAGCAUAUAUGCAUAGAGCAAGGCUAAAGUGACUUGGCAAAUGUACUUUCACUAGUUUAUUUCUGCAUGAUGUAUUUAUGGUUCCCCCGCAUCUUCAUAUUUUGAUGAUACUUUGAACUUCUGCAGCUUUCUUAUCAAAUAGAGCUGAUGAAAUUUAGCCUUAAAAUGGUACAGGAAGCAUAUGUAUUGCUAGUUGCAGUUUUAACUCUUUCUAAUUACGAAUCAUAUGUCUUCUCUUGUAGACUUGCAUGAUGGAGGCUGCGGAAUUUCGCCCUUGGUCAGAUCUUCCGCCAGAACUCCUGGGACUUGUUCUCAAGCGCCUCCCUUCCCUAGCUGACCGUGUUCAUUUGAGAGCUGUCUGCCACCCAUGGCGCUCUAAUAGCAGGUUGCAGACCCUUCCUCUCCCAUUCCUGUGGCUCACUCUCCCUGAUGGCACCUUCCUCAGCAUUCCAAGCGGUGAAAUUCACCACAUAUCUUUACCGGAAGGUGUGUCUUGCCAGGGCUCCAUUGACAACUUGCUAUUCCUCAUGCACAAUGAUGGUGUGUGCUACUUGAUGAACCCUUUCUCCAAGACCAGGUUGCAGCUUCCUAAGCUAGCAAAGGUAUGGAAGCGUGAGAUAUAUGAUCCCGAACCCCGAAUUAACCCAAUUUUCCACAACUUGGUGGUGCCCUUUUCACUUGACUCGUCACCCUGUUCCCUACUUGGUGCACUGAUCAUGGAUGAUGGUAACUGGGGUACACUUUGUAUUAGUCAACCACCGAUUGUCACUGACUCAUUCAGAGAUGAUAAGCAUCCAGCAAAGCUCCUCUGUAGUGUUGCGUUCUUUGAUGGCAAGCUGUACGGGCUGGGGGGGGGGUUUGACCAACUAUUCAUCUUUGAAUUAGACAAGGACCUUGGUAUUUCAUCCAUGGAGUGUAUAAUUGACUAUGGGUGAGUUAGGUGGAAUACCUCAAUCGUUGUCGGAAGAGAAGGCGUAUAUGAUAAGGGGGUAUCUAGUUGAAUGUGGCGAUAGACUGUUGAUGGUGAAACGGUGGAUUCAUCCUAUUGCCCGUUCAACAAGUGAUGACUUUUUCGAGCAUAACCGUACUGUUGCACUUGGGGCUUUUGAGGCAGAUUUGGGCACCGAUCCAGCUGGAUGGAGAACAGUAAAUGAUUUGGAUGGCCAUGCGCUCUUUCUUGGCCAGCAUAGCUCCAAGUCCCUGCGCGCUGGAGAAUGCAGUGGAUACCAAGAGGACUGCAUCUACUUCAUGUGUGACUAUUCCUGGCCAAAGCAUUCUGCAAAUCCUCUUCGUGAUGCCGGUGUUUAUAACAUUAGGAAUCAGACAUUCAUGCCACUGAUGUCGGGGACUGCAGCGGUACCGCCACGUCAUGCUGUCCAGUGGCGUCCGACAUGGUUUUUCCCUCCUGAAGCUGUGUGACCAAGCCUCUUAAUCACUGAUCCUCAGAGUAAUUGUUGGAUAAUGUAUCUGAGAUGGAAGUUGGAAGGGCUUCGUCCUCACAGCGACAGGUGAGUUGUUGAUGGAUGGUAGAGAUUCGUAGUGUUAGUUUCUGUGUUGGUAGGCUGGUAGGUUCAGUUUGAUGAGUGAUGUGUUCUACCUGGUGGCUGUUGUUCUGUCUUGUGGUGGCUGAACUUAGUGAUCCUGUCCUAGUGUAGCGUUGUAACUGCUGUUGCCUGAACUUUUAAACGCGGGCCGCUGUAUCAUUAGUUUUAUUUUAAUUAAAUUGGAGGGUGUGUUCUCCUUUCAUCAAAAUUUUCUUGUAUGAUGUUAGAUUCUGUAUUAGUAUGAUGAUAGAGAUGUUUUGCAUUUUCAAGUAUUAUGGAUGAUUUGUUUUUGCUGGUAUUAUGGAUGAUUUUUAACAGGAUGCAUUGUAAUGCGCAAGUCUUUUGCUGUGAUAUAAGACUAAAGGCAUCUCUCACAGAAUCUUUAAAUUUUGUAACUCCUCAUGUUGGCAUCAUUUGGGGAGUCAAACCGUAGCUAACGGAAGCCCUAUAACUAUAACUCCUCAAAAUUUUGAGUUAACCCUAUGCCUUCUCUGCUCAAAUUUGAGCACGUCAUACCCAUUCUCCUCAAAUCUCCUCUCAUCGAGAAAAUGGCUCAACCGGCGGCAAGAUGCCAAACUGAACCAGCCCACGCCAGUAUAAACCCCGUCGGUGCCACACCAAACCCUAAAUCCUUCUUGGCCGCCCUAUUUCUCCCAAAUCACCGUCGCCACCACCCAAUUUUGUCAUCACUGUUCGAAUGGCCAUGGCUCGCUGCCUGCAGCGGGUAGAGCAGUGGGGUGUUGCUGUGCCGGAUGUCAUCCUCGGAUGAUGACUACAAUGACGAGCCAGAGGCGGUGCAGCUCGCAGUAGCCAUGGCCGAGGAAGCCGAUGAAGAGGAGGAGGGGGGCGAUGAAGAGGAGGAGGGGCAAGGUGAUGGAGGAGGAUGAGCAGUCGACGAAGGAAGCCGUGCACGAGGACGGCGCCUACGACCACACCUACCUCCCUUCAAGGGAGGAGGCGGAGCAGAUCAAUACAACAGUUUUCGGUGUGCACUUUGGUAGCUUUGUAGGCGCUCGAGUACCUAGUUCGGUGUGUUAGCCUUCCGUCGCUUUGUAUGUAUUGUGGUGCUUUAGGUCUAAUCUAGCUAGCCUUUGUUUUAGGUUUUUGCCCGGUUUUCCUCCGAAACCGAGCAGCCUCUUUGUUUUUUACACAUGUCUUUAUGCGAUGCAUUAUCUCUCCGAGGUCUUCUUGUAAUAUCCUUUUUUAAUCAAUGGAUUUGACAGUUCUCCUGUCAACAUUAUAAAAUGAUAAGGUUCAAAAAAAAAUAUAAAAUGAUAUCGAAGAUGGGCAUGUAAAUUUGUUCCCAAGAUUCCUAAAUGUUUGAAAGGCUUUUCUAGUUAUCGUUUUAAGAGCAACACUAGCAGACCCCUUAUACUCGAGAACUGUAAACGCGAUAUAAGGGUCAAGAAAGCAGGGACCCGACAAGGUAGUCCUUCGUCCCGAUGACGCCGCGGCCGCCCGGGCGCUCCUCCCCCGGCUCGAUCUUGACGGGGAGGAGGUCGCCAGAGUCCCUCUCCCUCUUCACGGGCAGCAGCCCCGCAUCGGAAGUGCUCCCCGCGCCCGAAGAGCUCCCCGCGUCGGAGUGCCUCGCAUGGCGGAGGUCGUACUCCUCCGUCUUGCGGCGGAGGAGGGAGCCAGCAACCCAUACCUGGUGUACCGCUUGACCGCGCGCUUGCGCGCCGCGUCGGAGGUGAAGCAAUCUUUGCGCUCCGGGUCAUCGCCGCCACCGCGCCGGCCAGAGCUCCACAUCGUCGCGGAUGGGGGAAGGGGGGCUGAUUUCUCACCGACGAUGAGAAACGGAGUGCGGAAUGGGUGAGACGCGGCGGUGGAGGAUAGGGCUUCGGCCUGUAUCGGACGGCAAACCUGUAAAUANNNNNNNNNNNNNNNNNNNNNNNNNNNNNNNNNNNNNNNNNNNNNNNNNNNNNNNNNNGGGCGAUUUGUGGGCCACCGUAAAAAAAAUUACGGGCUGGGCGGCUAUAUGGGCUCUGGUCUGACCCAAAAACCGGAUCAAACUCGUAUAGUCGCCGGAGUUUUACCAUUUGUGCGUUUAUACGGGUUUGCUAGAGUUGCUGUGAGCAGUGUCUCACUCUGUACUCUUCCCAUCGGGCUUCCCCGGUUCUCUCCCCUCCCAUGGUCAGGUUCCAAUCCCUACUUCUCUGGCGAUUUGAGACUUGCGUGUGACUAGCAGCCUCCCGCCCCACCUCAUCCGCUGGAGGCCGAAUCUGUUCCCCGCCAUCCACCGGCUCGCCGACGAGGCAACAAGACUCAGCAGUAAGCUGUAAGCCCUACCACCUUCGCACUCUCCAUCUUGUCAGGGGUUUCUUCCAGUAGAUCGGGCUGGGCGGACUGAUGCUUUGCCUGCCCACCAUUGUUUCUUCUAGUAGAUCUAUGCUUGGUGGGUUUUUUUACCUGGUGUGAACUAGAAAUGUUCAGGAAUGUUUGGCUCUGAUGCGGACCUCUCAAUAUCUCACACUCUCCCGUUCUUGAAGAAAAUAUAAAAUGGCACCUCUUUUGCAAAUCCCUAUUUGUUUUUCUACCAAAAUUGUUUCAGUUAAUGAGUAGAUCUAUGCCUGGUAGAAAUGUGUAUGAAUUUAUUAUACACUAAAGGAAGGAACACCUGUCGCUCUUGGUUCUGAUGCAACGCAUAUCACUCUUUCAGCGGACACCUCUUUCAGUGGCGGAGCCAGAAAAAUAGGAUGAGGAGGGCCGAGUAUUGUUCAACCUUGUUGGGGUGGGCCAAUCCAUCAAAAACACCCAUUUUAGGGGAAAAAAAUCACUGCUACUAUUCAUCUAUUAGGCCUAAAUCACAGAUGUUACUUUGGCUAACCAAAAUUUGUUUUCUUUUAGUCUAUGCUUGGUAAUAAGUUGAUGUAAAACAGCAAAUAUUCGUUCAGUACUACACUUUCCUGUGAUGCCCAGCCAUUGUUUCAGGCUUUCAGCUUGUACUUGAAUAAGAUGUCACUUCUUUUUCUCUACAUAAUUUUACUUAAUAGACCCGCCUUUUCUUCUAAAUAAAAUGAAAAUGGAGUAAGUGCAGUGACUGGGUCAUUGCCGCUGGGAUAUAGCACAUGAGACAUUGGGAACACUGCUCUCUCAUAGUUAGUAUACUAAUGAUGCUGAUUUGGUGUUUCUAGUCAGAGGAAGAGAAUCAAUGAAUCUUGAAAAAUGAGUGCCUAGUACACUAUCUAAUCUUCCUUGGAGUUAAUACUUAUGAAUUAUGAUGCCAACAAAAUGGUGCUUAUUGUACUGUUUCCUGCAAACUGUUGUUACCAAGUGCAAUGAGCAUAUAUGCAUAGAGCAAGGCUAAAGUGACUCGGCAAAUGUACUUUCACUAGUUUAUUUCUGCAUGAUGUAUUUAUGGUUCCCCCGCAUCUUCAUAUUUUGAUGAUACUUUGAACUUCUGCAGCUUUCUUUUCAAAUAGAGCUGACGAAAUUUAGCCUUAAAAUGGUACAUGAAGCAUAUGUAUUGCUAGUUGCAGUUUUAACUCUUUCUAAUUAUGAAUCAUAUGUCUUCUCUUGUAGAUUUGCAUGAUGGAGGCUGCGGAAUUUCGCCCUUGGUCAGAUCUUCCGCCAGAACUCCUGGGACUUGUUCUCAAGCGCCUCCCUUCCCUAGCUGACCGUGUUCGUUUGAGAGCUGUCUGCCACCCAUGGCGCUCUAAUAGCAGGUUGCAGACCCUUCCUCUCCCAUUCCCGUGGCUCACUCUCCCUGAUGGCACCCUCCUCGGCAUUCCAAGCGGUGAAAUUCACCACAUAUCUUUACCGGAAGGUGCGUGUUGCCAGGGCUCCAUUGACAACUUGCUAUUCCUCAUGCACAAUGAUGGUGUGUGCUACUUGAUGAACCCUUUCUCCAAGACCAGGUUGCAGCUUCGUAAGCUAGCAAAGGUAUGGAAGCGUGAGAUAUAUGAUCCCGAACCCCGAAUUAACCCAAUUUUCUACAACUUGGUGGUGCCCUUUCCACUUGACUCGUCACCCUGUUCCCUACUUGCUGCACUGAUCAUGGAUGAUGGUAACUGGGGUACACUUUGUAUUAGUCAAUCACCGAUUGUCACUGACUCAUUCAGAGAUGAUAAGCAUCCAGCAAAGCUCCUCUGUAGUGUUGCGUUCUUUGAUGGCAAGCUGUACGGGCUGGGGGGGUUUGACCAACUAUUCAUCUUUGAAUUAGACAAGGACCUUGGUAUUUCAUCCAUGGAGUGUAUAAUUGACUCUAUGGGUGAGUUAGGUGGAAUACCUCAAUCGUUGUCGGAAGAGAAGGCGUAUAUGAUAAGGCGGUAUCUAGUUGAAUGUGGCGAUAGACUGUUGAUGGUGAAACGGUGGAUUCAUCCUAUUGCCCGUUCAACAAGUGAUGACUUUUUCGAGCAUAACCGUACUGUUGCACUUGGGGUUUUUGAGGCAGAUUUGGGCACCGAUCCUGCUGGAUGGAGAACAGUAAAUGAUUUGGAUGGCCAUGCGCUCUUUCUUGGCCAGCAUAGCUCCAAGUCCCUGCGCGCUGGAGAAUGCAGUGGAUACCAAGAGGACUGCAUCUACUUCAUGUGUGACUAUUCCUGGCCAAAGCAUUCUGCAAAUCCUCUUCGUGAUGCCGGUGUUUACAACAUCAGGAAUCAGACAUUCAUGCCACUGAUGUCGGGGACUGCAGCGGUACCGCCACAUCAUGCUGGCCAGUGGCGUCCGACAUGGUUUUUCCCUCCUGAAGCUGUGUGACCAAGCCUUGUAAUCACUGAUCUUCAGAGUAAUUGUUGGAUAAUGUAUCUGAGAUGGAAGUUGGAAGGGCUUCGUCCUCACAGCGACAGGUGAGUUGUUGAUGGAUGGUAGAGAUUCGUAGUGUUAGUUUCUGUGUUGGUAGGCUGGUAGGUUCAGUUUGAUGAGUGAUGUGUUCUACCUGGUGGCUGUUGUUCUGUCUUGUGGUGGCUGAACUUAGUGAUCCUGUCCUAGUGUAGCGUUGUAACUGCUGUUGCCUGAACUUUUAAACGCGGGCCGCUGUAUCAUCAGUUUUAUUUUAAUUAAAUUGGAGGGUGUGUUCUCCUUUCAUCAAAAUUUUCUUGUAUGAUGUUAGAUUCUGUAUUAGUAUGAUGAUAGAGAUGUUUUGCAUUUUCAAGUAUUAUGGAUGAUUUGUUUUUGCUGGUAUUAUGGAUGAUUUUUAACAGGAUGCAUUGUAAUGCGCAAGUCUUUUGCUGUGAUAUA
rnacentral:lncRNA from 1 species